rnacentral:rRNA from 1 species
GAUGAACGCUGGCGGCGUGCCUAAUACAUGCAAGUCGAGCGAACAGACGAGGAGCUUGCUCCUCUGACGUUAGCGGCGGACGGGUGAGUAACACGUGGAUAACCUACCUAUAAGACUGGGAUAACUUCGGGAAACCGGAGCUAAUACCGGAUAAUAUAUUGAACCGCAUGGUUCAAUAGUGAAAGACGGUUUUGCUGUCACUUAUAGAUGGAUCCGCGCCGCAUUAGCUAGUUGGUAAGGUAACGGCUUACCAAGGCGACGAUGCGUAGCCGACCUGAGAGGGUGAUCGGCCACACUGGAACUGAGACACGGUCCAGACUCCUACGGGAGGCAGCAGUAGGGAAUCUUCCGCAAUGGGCGAAAGCCUGACGGUGCAACGCCGCGUGAGUGAUGAAGGUCUUCGGAUCGUAAAACUCUGUUAUUAGGGAAGAACAAAUGUGUAAGUAACUAUGCACGUCUUGACGGUACCUAAUCAGAAAGCCACGGCUAACUACGUG